UCCGUGAAGAGCUAGUGGUUAGGCCCCAGCGCUCUCACCACUGCGGCCCGGGUUCGAUUCCCAGCCAGGGAA